AAUGGCAGAAGGACGCUGAGAGAAUGCUGUCCAUGUAGAGCUCCACAGGAAAAGCAAAUGGUCUUCAUAUUGGACACUAGAGUAACAAACAGGUCAAUCAACACUUUCCAGCCAGACUGCAGUGGGCAUGCAUCCCCACCCCCCAAGAGUGUGCAGGAGGAGCUGUAACCACCCCCACCGCCUUGAAACCUGUUUGCUCAGGCUUCACUGUUAGCAGUAAAAGAGCAUCAUGGUGGAGCCUGCUGCCCUAUUGUUCUGCCACUCCCACUGCUGCAGCCUGCUGCCUUGCUGUUCUGGAGCCAAACACCUGGUCACCUGAAACUAAACUCCAGGAUGUUUUGGCGGGAAUGGGCCCCUUCCCCCUCCUUCAUAAC